GACAGAGGGUGCAAACGUUGUUCGGAUUUACUGGGCGUAAAGGGCGCGUAGGCGGCAUGACAAGUCACUUGUGAAAUCUCUGGGCUUAACCCAGAACGGCCAAGUGAUACUGUCGCGCUAGAGUGCGGAAGGGGCAAUCGGAAUUCUCGGUGUAGCGGUGAAAUGCGUAGAUAUCGAGAGGAACACCUGAGGUGAAGACGGGUUGCUGGGCCGACACUGACGCUGAGUGCGCGAAAGCCAGGGGAGCAAACGGG
rnacentral:rRNA from 1 species